rnacentral:rRNA from 1 species
ACGGGUGAGUAACACGUGGUCAACCUUCCCUACAGUGGGGAUAACUAGCCGAAAGGUUAGCUAAUACCGCAUAACAUCUACGAGCGGCAUCGCAUGUAGAUCAAAGGAGCAAUCCGCUGAAGGACGGGACCGCGUCCCAUUAGUUAGUUGGUGGGGUAAUGGCCUACCAAGACUCCGAUGGGUAGCUGGUUUGAGAGAGCGACCAGCCACACUGGGACUGAGAAACGGCCCAG